rnacentral:rRNA from 1 species
AGUGAACGCUGGCGGUAGGCCUAAUACAUGCAAGUCGAGCGACCGCACAGUAAGAGCUUGCUCUUACGGUUGGCGAGUGACGGACGGGUAAGACAUACAUAGCCAUCUACUUUUUCUUGGGGGAUUACGUGGGGAAACUGCCGCUAAUACCUCAUACGACCUACGGGUUAAAGCAGUGGUUCAUCGCACCUUUCGCGAUAGAUUGAGCUGAUGUCGGAUUAGCUAGUUGGCGGGGUAAAGGCCCACCAAGGCGACGAUCCGUAGCUGGUCUGAGAGGAUGAUCAGCCACACUGGAACUGAGACACGGUCCAGACUCCUACGGGAGGCAGCAGUGGGGAAUAUUGGACAAUGGGCGCAAGCCUGAUCCAGCCAUACCGCGUGGGUGAAGAAGGCCUUCGGGUUGUAAAGCCCUUUUGUUGGGAAAGAAAAGCAGCAGGUUAAUACCCCGCUGUUCUGACGGUACCCAAAGAAUAAGCACCGGCUAACUUCGUG